CCCGGCUAGCUCAGUUGGUAGAGCAUGGGCCUCUUGAUCUCAGGAUUGUGGGUUUGAGCCCCAGCUGCUGGGG